rnacentral:tRNA from 1 species
GGCGCUGUGGCUCAGUGGUAGAGUGCUUGCCUUUCAUGCAUGAGGUCCUGGGUUCCAUUCCUCAGCACCA